GGCCCCUUGGUCAAGCGGUUAAGACACCGCCCUUUCACGGCGGUAACAGGGGUUCGAUUCCCCUAGGGGUCACCA
rnacentral:tRNA from 16 species